CGUCUAGGCGGCCUUUUAAGUCUGAUGUGAAAAUGCGGGGCUCAACUCCGUAUUGCGUUGGAAACUGGAAGGCUAGAGUAUCAGAGGGGUGGGCGGAACUACAAGUGUAGAGGUGAAAUUCGUAGAUAUUUGUAGGAAUGCCGAUGGGGAAGCCAGCUCACUGGAUGAAUACUGACGCUGAAGCGCGAAAGCGUGGGGAGCAAACG
rnacentral:rRNA from 1 species